UACGGAGGGUGCGAGCGUUGUCCGGAAUCACUGGGCGUAAAGGGCGCGUAGGCGGCUGGGGAAGUCGGCGGUGAAAGCCCGGAGCUCAACUCCGGGUCGGCCGUCGAGACUCCUCGGCUCGAGCUCACUAGAGGCAGAUGGAAUUCCGGGUGUAGCGGUGGAAUGCGUAGAGAUCCGGAAGAACACCGGUGGCGAAGGCGGCCUGCUGGGCAGUAGCUGACGCUGAUGCGCGACAGGCGUGG
rnacentral:rRNA from 1 species